rnacentral:rRNA from 1 species
UACAGAGGUCUCAAGCGUUGUUCGGAUUCAUUGGGCGUAAAGGGUGCGUAGGCGGCGCGGUAAGUCGGGUGUGAAAUUUCGAGGCUUAACUUCGAAACUGCAUUCGAUACUGCCGUGCUUGAGGACUGGAGAGGAGACUGGGAUUUACGGUGUAGCGGUGAAAUGCGUAGAUAUCGUAAGGAAGACCAGUGGCGAAGGCGGGUCUCUGGACAGUUCCUGACGCUGAGGCACGAAGGCCAGGGGAGCAAACGGG